CAAGGCCGAAUUAACACCGUUUUGCACCCCCAUUUCUGCAUGAGUAGGGCAUGUCCCCCUCAAGAUGGUCCGGGAGCAUGCAUGCAUAUGCUAUUAGGGGUGUAUCUGCGGGUGAAUACCCUACGGACUGCCUCAGAAAACUCGAGCUCUUUGGACCUAGAGAGGAGGAGGUCCCCGUCUUUGCAGAUUAGCGGGAGCUCUGGGCAUCCACAUGAAGAUGCUGUUCACCGGGCUGGCCCAGUUCCAGGAGCCAGAACCGAGUUGUGCCAGUGCUUCUGUUCUUAAGGUGGCCCGCCAUGCCUUGCCUGCCCUUCAGCCUGGCCUUUUUCCUAGGCCGCAUCUGGAAGCUUGUUAGACCGAUGAACCCUCCUGGAAAGAAUGGCCACUCAGCGCUCUGUAAAUAUUCUCUGCUCCCUUAGCUCACACUGGCCUGGGUCCCCGCACCACCGCCCCUCACCUUUGUUCCUUGCUUGCAUACAUCCUAAGAGUGCAUUCAUUGUUAAACAGUAGUUGCUUUCUUCUUUGCCUCUGUCCACUUCA